rnacentral:rRNA from 1 species
GACGAACCGCGCGAACGUUGUUCGGAAUCACUGGGCUUAAAGGGCGCGUAGGCGGGCUGUCAAGUCUGGGGUGAAAUCCCGCGGCUCAACCGUGGAACUGCCUUAGAUACUGACGGCCUCGAGGGAGAUAGGGGCGAGCGGAACUGUGAGUGGAGCGGUGAAAUGCGUUGAUAUUCACAGGAACUCCGGUGGCGAAGGCGGCUCGCUGGAUCUCUUCUGACGCUGAGGCGCGAAAGCUAGGGGAGCAAACGGG